UGAAAACUUGGAAACUACCGUUGGAUCGAGAAAUGGACGUCCGAGAUUCGUCCACGUCAUCAUGAGUUAAAAUUUAACUCCUAGUAAAAUUUUAACUCAUGAGUGAAUCUGCGAGUUAAAUUUUAACUCAUGGUGACGUGGACGAAUCUCGGACGUCUAUUUUUCGAUUCAACGGUAGUUUCCACUGUAU
rnacentral:pre_miRNA from 1 species